rnacentral:lncRNA from 1 species
AGCGUUCUAGACAUAGCAUCGAGUUUGAUGAGGGCUUUGAAAAGAGGAGGAAUCCUCCCCGUUCCACACUAGGGGGAAAACGAGGCUUGUUGUCACUCCGAAGGGAGCAGUCAAACUUAGCAUUGAGUUUGACGAGGGCUUUGAAAAGAGGAGGAAUCCUCCCCGUUCCAUAGUAGGGGGAAAACGAGGCUUGUUGUCACUCCGAAGGGAGCAGUCAAACUUAGAAACUAAGUCUAGAACCAUAGAAAGGUUACCCCACCGGUUCUUGUGUGCGUACCAAAGAAACAAAAGAGAUAGUUGCAAAUGUAAAACGUAAAACAGUGACACAAUUAAGAGCUAAAAAAAACAAACAACAUAUGCAAUAUACAUCAGAAAAAUCCCAUAAAAAAUGAGGGGAAACUUCACUUAUGGCCUAACCAAAACCAGACCACCUACUCUUAGCGUUCUAGACAUAGCAUCGAGUUUGAUGAGGGCUUUGAAAAGAGGAGGAAUCCUCCCCGUUCCACACUAGGGGGAAAACGAGGCUUGUUGUCACUCCGAAGGGAGCAGUCAAACUUAGCAUUGAGUUUGACGAGGGCUUUGAAAAGAGGAGGAAUCCUCCCCGUUCCAUAGUAGGGGGAAAACGAGGCUUGUUGUCACUCCGAAGGGAGCAGUCAAACUUAGAAACUAAGUCUAGAACCAUAGAAAGGUUACCCCACCGGUUCUUGUGUGCGUACCAAAGAAACAAAAGAGAUAGUUGCAAAUGUAAAACGUAAAACAGCGAGACAAUUAAGAGCUAAAAAAAACAAACAACAUAUGCAAUAUACAUCAGAAAAAUCCCAUAAAAAAUGAGGGGAAACUUCACUUAUGGCCUAACCAAAACCAGACCACCUACUCUUAGCGUUCUAGACAUAGCAUCGAGUUUGAUGAGGGCUUUGAAAAGAGGAGGAAUCCUCCCCGUUCCACACUAGGGGGAAAACGAGGCUUGUUGUCACUCCGAAGGGAGCAGUCAAACUUAGCAUUGAGUUUGACGAGGGCUUUGAAAAGAGGAGGAAUCCUCCCCGUUCCAUAGUAGGGGGAAAACGAGGCUUGUUGUCACUCCGAAGGGAGCAGUCAAACUUAGAAACUAAGUCUAGAACCAUAGAAAGGUUACCCCACCGGUUCUUGUGUGCGUACCAAAGAAACAAAAGAGAUAGUUGCAAAUGUAAAACGUAAAACAGUGACACAAUUAAGAGCUAAAAAAAACAAACAACAUAUGCAAUAUACAUCAGAAAAAUCCCAUAAAAAAUGAGGGGAAACUUCACUUAUGGCCUAACCAAAACCAGACCACCUACUCUUAGCGUUCUAGACAUAGCAUCGAGUUUGAUGAGGGCUUUGAAAAGAGGAGGAAUCCUCCCCGUUCCACACUAGGGGGAAAACGAGGCUUGUUGUCACUCCGAAGGGAGCAGUCAAACUUAGAAACUAAGUCUAGAACCAUAGAAAGGUUACCCCACCGGUUCUUGUGUGCGUACCAAAGAAACAAAAGAGAUAGUUGCAAAUGUAAAACGUAAAACAACGAGACAAUUAAGAGCUAAAAAAAACAAACAACAUAUGCAUUAUACAUCAGAAAAAUCCCAUUCAGAUUGUUUUAUCUUCUCAUGUUGGGCUACUUCCAAGCAAUGUUUUAAGCGAAGGGUGGAUAAUAGCUCACUUGUUUAGUCUAAACUUGGGGAUUUCAAAUUUUGUCCAAAUUUCAAAAUUUUUCAAAAGUUUUUCAUUACAAUAAUGAGCAUCAUAGCUUCUUAGAUCUUGCAUAAAAGGCAUGACUGUCAACCCUUGAGCACUAAGCUCGGGUUUGUGACGUGAGAUUCUGA